GCACUGCUGAGGAUUUCCACAAUAGGACGAAACGGCCGUCCAGUGC
rfam:Schistosoma mansoni, Puerto Rico, WGS project CABG01000000 data, contig: 0013